rnacentral:misc_RNA from 1 species
UCCACCCUAAACUUCAUUUGCGUCGAAGCUUCCGAAGCUUUGUUGCGGUUUGGUGUGUCUUUUAUUUUUACGUAGAACUCAUAUCGAUCCGAUAUGCCGCGUCCGAGAAUGGAUUUUGUGACUAAUAAGUGGCGAGGCACCACGCGAGCAAGAAUGAACAGCCCUGGAGGUUAUGGGCACUGCUCAAUUGGCUCAUUCCUCGGUGCUUCUCGAAGGCCUGGUCAAGGAGGAGUUGCUCAGUGAACUACUAGUUUGAGUUCCCUGAGACGGACACCACUGACAUCACCUACAGUGCCGAGGUACAGGCUUAAUGGCAGAUAUCAAUAGGAGAUGAUGGUGCUGCCACGGACUUUGGCUCGUGGGGGUGCCGUCGCUACUGACAAAGCCUGUGCUCCCCGUCGUCCCUGUUGAAAUGGUGGCUGGAACUUGGAGAGGGUUUGCUGCCACAGCCGGAUCCAGUGUUACAUUCCUGUGGCUUUUUGGUUGUUUCCCAAUUAUUGAAGGGAGUUGCAGGCUUAUCAUGGGCGACACAGUGCUUUGCUCGCACCUUCACGGAGUACAGCAAUGUGGGGAAGCAAGUCGAGGACAGCCUCUCUCGAUUUCUGUCCCGGGGGCGCUAUGCUCUUCCAGGACCAAGCAAGAAACACAGUGCAGAGAGGCAAGGAGGUAAAAUAAAGGGAGUAAAACAAAAGGAACAGGGUAUGUGUUCCUAGUAGUCAUGCCAGCCACCUUGAGUGGCAGUGUUUGG